rnacentral:rRNA from 1 species
GAUGAACUCUGGCGGCGUGCUUAACACAUGCAAGUCGAACGAAGCAUUUAGAACGGAUUACUUCGGUUUGAAGUUCUUUAUGACUGAGUGGCGGACGGGUGAGUAACGCGUGGGUAACCUGCCUUGUACUGGGGGAUAGCAGCUGGAAACGGCUGGUAAUACCGCAUAAGCGCACAAUGUUGCAUGACAUGGUUUGAAAAACUCCGGUGGUAUAAGAUGGACCCGCGUCUGAUUAGCUAGUGGGUGAGAUAACAGCCCACCAAGGCGACGAUCAGUAGCCGACCUGAGAGGUUGACCGGCCACAUUGGGACUGAGACACGGCCCAGACUCCUACGGGAGGCAGCAGUGGGGAAUAUUGCACAAUGGAGGAAACUCUGAUGCAGCGACGCCGCGUGAGUGAAGAAGUAAUUCGUUAUGUAAAGCUCUAUCAGCAGGGAAGAUAGUGACGGUACCUGACUAAGAAGCUCCGGCUAAAUCCGUGCCAGCAGCCGCAGUAACAC